UACGUAGGGUGCAAGCGUUGUCCGGAAUUAUUGGGCGUAAAGAGCUCGUAGGCGGUCUGUCGCGUCUGCUGUGAAAACUCGGGGCUUAACCCCGGGCCUGCAGUGGGUACGGGCAGACUAGAGUGCGGUAGGGGAGACUGGAAUUCCUGGUGUAGCGGUGAAAUGCGUAGAUAUGCGGAAGAACACCGGUGGCGAAGGCGGUUUUCUAUCUUAUUCCUGACGCUGAGGCGCGAAAGCAAGGGGAUCAAACAGG
rnacentral:rRNA from 1 species